CGGUAAAUCAAUCCCACAAUGUCAGAUGCUGUGCUCACCUGUCCCAUAAAACCAGAGCUAUAUAAAGCUUUCAAGUUAAAUCUCAGAGUAUUUGGGCCAGAUCAGCAAGGUGCUUCCAGCUGCAGAGGAUUCGGGCUCUGCCUAAUGAGGCUGGAGCACUGAAAGAAGUUACUUGCAAAGGCAGAAAAAAGACUGGAAUGGUUUUUAGGUGUCUGGAGAGUUGCUACAUGGCUGUGCGUAAUGGAGUCCUGCCUAGAAAAUGCCCUGCUGACACCCCAGCUUUGCCAGUCCUCCAGAGGCACCAGCUGCUGGUGGAUGCCGGAUGCAUGGCCAGCAGACUGUAGUUGAGAGGCCCAAAAGGGAGCUGCCAGAACAACUUUGGACAGGAGGUCUAUGAGAGCAUGGAAGAUGGAAAAGCAGCAGGUGAGGCAGGAGCCACACUAUGCGUUUUCUGCUAACCUGAAAGGCACGAGGCAGCCCUCAGCAAGGCUCCUGGAGCACCUAAGAGUGUGCUCUUGGCUAAAUGAGCUCCAUGAUGCAGCUACUGCAUGGACACCUGCGCAUGUAAUGGGGACAGGCAGCCCUGCCAGUGGGUUUGUGAAUACCAGGGACUCUGGUGUGACCCUGUUUGCAGUGAAGACAGAUGCAUUUCCAGUUGACAGAAGAAGCAAUGUUUCAGAUCCAGAAUACUCGGCAGAAAUGUUGCUGCAUCAGAUCUUUAGAAAUAUCCAGGGGUAAGGAACAGGAUUUUGAGGAUUAACAUUUUGUGUGUAGAUACCUUAUGUGGCAUGUUGGAAUUUAAGUCUCUUUGUGGAUUUGGCCAAUUAGCUUUUCUCUGCAUCAGCAAUUUUAUACCUCCCAGGAGCACUGGGGGAUAGAUGCAUGAAAUGUUGCAAAGAUGUCAGAAACUGCCUUGUUAGAGACCUGCUACUAUCUCAUAUAGACAAUCUAUAUGUACAUAAAAUAUUUUACAUGUAGAAUAUGCCCAGUCAUUUCACCAUCAAUCUCUCUUUGCUGGAAUGUGAGCCGUGAAAAUCUGCAGUCACCAGACAGAGGAGCAGUGAUCUCUCUCUGCAGC